CCUAGUUUGGUCGUAUGUUUCACAUCUGAUUACCAACACGAUCAGUCGCUCACCCUCUCCGACGGCUUCUUUCUCCGGCGAAUCGGUGCUGCAUCUUUCUCCAGCAAGUCAGCGCUACUUCUUUCUCCGGCGAGUCAACGCUACUUCUUUCUCCGGUGAGUCAGCGACACAUCAACCAUCACUUCAGGUAUCAUGAAUCAUGUAACUAAGUGGAUCUUGGUGCAAUGAAUUAUGAAGUUUCAAGUUUACUAUGAAGACGAUGACAUCCGUAUUUUGGAGGGUUUGAUCCAUAUAUCUCGUCUUCGAACGGGACAUAGGAUGCAAAACCUCGUUAUUUCAAAAACUUUAUUUUGAACAAGUCCUGUUUGUAAAACUUAUAAACUUAUGUUGUCUUUUGCUACAAAACAACUUAUGACUUGUAUCUUUACAUUAUGGAAUGGAUGAACAUCGUGUAUGUUUUAUAUCAUAUAGUUUGUUUACUUA